CAUAAUUUUAUUCAUAUAGAUUAUUUCUCCUACAUAUCUUUAUAUAUUGCUUUCUUUAGUUCAAAUUGGAAUCUCAGAUAAGCAUCUGGUACUUUAAAACCUCUCCUCUCUGUUCCAUGCCUCUGGUCGACAUGUGUACUUCAGAAUAGUUACUGACUGUCAAAUGUAUAGCAGAACGUACAUAACUUCUUGAUAAAACUGCUGUCUAUCUCCCUUUUCGACACUGCAAAAAACAAAAUCGAACAGGCAAUUAAAGAGGGGGUUGCAACCACAUGUUCCCCGUACAAACGGAUCGGAAUUCAAUUCUCAUUCUGUAAACAAAUAUUGUAGGAUUGUUAAGGUAUUUUGGUGUUUUUAAAAGCCCAUCCCCUUUUUUUUUAAUAUACACCACAACAAAAAACAUUUAGUUAGGAUAAAGAACUAAUAAACGAUAGUCCUAUAAUGUAAGGCUUCAGAGUUUCAUAUCUUUAAGAUUCAACAUGUUUAUCGGAUUGUUUUUUACUAUCAAUGUUGAACCGUUAAUUUUUAUCGGAUUUUUUUAACUACCAAUGUUGAACCGUUGAACCGUUGACCAUUGAUAGUUAAUAACAAAAAUUCGAUGAUGAAUGUAAAUGAUAUGAACCUCCGGUCUUAUAUUAAAGGACAAUAUAUAGCACUUCUGAGGUUCAUAUCAUUUACAUUCAACGGUUUUAUCGGAUUUUUUUUU
rnacentral:lncRNA from 1 species